AGAUGCGGUGGCGUUGUGGUUGCUGCUUGAACAGUAGAGCGGCGGUUGUUCGCCUCUGAAUGUGAGAUAGCCUUUAUGCGCUGCGGUGGAACUGUCACCGGUGGUUUAACAGCUGGGGUUAUGUUGCCCAUGGUUUGUCUGGGUUGUUCCAGUAUGCAGGUUUCGUCAUUAUAAGGUUAUCUUUUGAUUGUCAUCGAAGCAUUGGUGUGUUCGGGUGUUUGCUUCUUCUUCCAGUUGGUUCUCUUUUUGGGUUCUGUGGAUACUUCGAGAGACGCAGAUUGCUGUUUUCCGACGUUUGAGCGUUUCCAGAAGGAAUUCAUUGUCG